UAGGGAAUCUUCGGCAAUGGACGAAAGCCUGACCGAGCAACGCCGCGUGAGUGAAGAAGGUUUUCGGAUCGUAAAACUCUGUUGUUAGAGAAGAACAAGGACGUUAGUAACUGAACGUCCCCUGACGGUAUCUAACCAGAAAGCCACGGCUAACUACGUGCCAGCAGCCGCGGUAAUACGUAGGUGGCAAGCGUUGUCCGGAUUUAUUGGGCGUAAAGCGAGCGCAGGCGGUUUCUUAAGUCUGAUGUGAAAGCCCCCGGCUCAACCGGGGAGGGUCAUUGGAAACUGGGAGGCUUGAGUGCAGAAGAGGAGGGUGGAAUUCCAUGUGUAGCGGUGAAAUGCGUAGAUAUAGGGAGGAACACCAGUGGCGAAGGCGGCUCUCUGGUCUGUAACUGACGCUGAGGCUCGAAAGCGUGGGGAGCAAACAGG
rnacentral:rRNA from 1 species